rnacentral:rRNA from 1 species
UACGUAGGGUGCAAGCGUUGUCCGGAAUUAUUGGGCGUAAAGAGCUCGUAGGCGGUUCGUCGCGUCGGCUGUGAAGACCCGGAGCUCAACUCCGGGCCUGCAGUCGAUACGGGCGGACUCGAGUUCGGCAGGGGAGACUGGAAUUCCUGGUGUAGCGGUGAAAUGCGCAGAUAUCAGGAGGAACACCGGUGGCGAAGGCGGGUCUCUGGGCCGAUACUGACGCUGAGAAGCGAAAGCGUGGGGAGCGAACAGG